CAGACCUCAUCCCCCUCCUGCUCCUUGUGUGCUGUUUCCCAGAGACACAGAGAGGCCAAGAGCCUCUCGGGAGGGGCAGAGCGAGGGAGGGGAGCAGCUUUAGGACGCCUGAGAGCUUGCACUCCUGGACGCCACCCGUGGGCCAGCUUCCAGGCCCUGGCUUCCUGGGGCCAUCAGUCAUUCUUUCUGAACCACAGUGGUCACUGGGUGAGUUUUACUCCACAUUUCAUUUUUGGAACAAAGAAAGAUGACUUGUUCAAAAGGAAGCCCUUACUAAGAAAAAGUGAAAGGCUCUGCAAUUACUUUUGGAAGCGGAGGGUGGAGACGGCGGGGAACAAAUGAACUGGCAAUGACUGUGAACUCUGACACGAUGGUCUGAUGUCAGCCCAGGUGGAGCUGUGUCAGCCCCUCGAGCCAUCUUUCUUCACUGUUAACAGCGAAAGGGCUUAUGCUGCGUGGGAAGACUUAAUUUCCACUCAAGGAAGAAACUCCUGGAAGAAACCACGAUGGUCUCCACGGGACCUUCAGACGUUCUGACACCUCGCUUAGGAGCCUGGCUAGGAGACAGGACCCAGCCCUGUGUGUUACCUGACAAGGUCCCAGAAGUGACAGAAAAAAAGCUAUGGACAUACUUUUGGCUCAUGAUAAAUAUGGCCAAAUUGCUUUUCAAAAAAGGUAUUGGAGCAAUUGGAUAUCCACAAGCAAAACAGUGAACCUUGAUUUAAAUCUCACGUCUUAUACAAAAAUUAACUCAAAUGGAUCAAAGACUGAAAUGUAAGACAUACAACUAUAAAAUUUUUAGAAAAAAAAAAAAAAAAAACCCAGGAGAAAA